GGAGAAUCUUAGAUUUUCUUGAUGUUCUGUAAACAAAUCAGCAAUGCAGCAACACGGAUGUUGAUGCAAGCAAAAAACGGGGCAUGGACGCCACGUCUUUUGCGGUUGCGGGCAUUGUGUAUAUGUUGGCAGAACAUUUAGAAAAUGUUAGAUUCG
rnacentral:ncRNA from 1 species